rnacentral:rRNA from 1 species
UACGUAGGUGGCGAGCGUUGUCCGGAUUUAUUGGGCGUAAAGCGCGCGCAGGUGGUGCGGUAAGUCUGCCGUGAAAUCUCCCGGCUCAACUGGGAGGGGGCGGUGGAGACUGCCGGACUAGAGGGACUCAGAGGCCGGUGGAACUCCCGGUGUAGUGGUGAAAUGCGUAGAGAUCGUGAGGAACACCAGUGGCGAAGGCGGCCGGCUGGGGGUGCCCUGACGCUGAGGCGCGAAAGCGUGGGGAGCGAACCGG